rnacentral:rRNA from 1 species
GCAAGUCGAACGAACAACAGCGAUAGCUUGCUAUUGCUGUUUGUUAGUGGCAAACGGGUGAGUAACACGUAGGAAUCUACCCUGUAGUACGGAACAACAGUUGGAAACGACUGCUAAUACCGUAUAUUUUCUUCGGAAGAAAGAUUUAUCGCUACAGGAUGAGCCUGCGCUAGAUUAGGUAGUUGGUAGGGUAAGAGCCUACCAAGCCGAUGAUCUAUAGCUGGUCUGAGAGGACGAUC